AACGAACGCUGGCGGCAGGCUUAACACAUGCAAGUCGAGCGCCCCGCAAGGGGAGCGGCAGACGGGUGAGUAACGCGUGGGGAUCUGCCUAGUGGUACGGAACAACACGGGGAAACUCGUGCUAAUACCGUAUAAGUCCUUCGGGAGAAAGAUUUAUCGCCAUUAGAUGAACCCGCGUCUGAUUAGCUAGUUGGUGAGGUAACGGCUCACCAAGGCGACGAUCAGUAGCUGGUCUGAGAGGAUGAUCAGCCACACUGGGACUGAGACACGGCCCAGACUCCUACGGGAGGCAGCAGUGGGGAAUAUUGGACAAUGGGCGCAAGCCUGAUCCAGCCAUGCCGCGUGAGUGAUGAAGGCCUUAGGGUUGUAAAGCUCUUUCGCUGGGGAAGAUAAUGACGGUACCCAGAGAAGAAGCCCCGGCUAACUUCGUGCCAGCCGCCGCCGUAA
rnacentral:rRNA from 1 species